rnacentral:rRNA from 1 species
AUUGAACGCUGGCGGCAUGCCUUACACAUGCAAGUCGAGCGAACCCUUCGGGGUUAGCGGCGGACGGGUUAGUAACGCGUGGGAAUAUACCCUUUGGUACGGAAUAGCCUCGGGAAACUGAGAGUAAUACCGUAUGUGCCCUUCGGGGGAAGAUUUAUCGCCAAAGGAUUAGCCCGCGUUGGAUUAGAUAGUUGGUGGGGUAAUGGCCUACCAAGUCUACGAUCCAUAGCUGGUUUGAGAGGAUGAUCAGCAACACUGGGACUGAGACACGGCCCAGACUCCUACGGGAGGCAGCAGUGGGGAAUCUUAGACAAUGGGCGCAAGCCUGAUCUAGCCAUGCCGCGUGGACGAUGAAGGCCUUAGGGUUGUAAAGUCCUUUCAGAUGGGAAGAUAAUGACGGUACCAUCAGAAGAAGCCCGGCUAACUCCGUGCCAGCAGCCGCGGUAAAGUCUGUACU